AGAGUUUGAUCCUGGCUCAGGACGAACGCUGGCGGCGUGCUUAACACAUGCAAGUGGAGCGACGAACCGGGGCUUGCCCCGGGGCAGAGCCGCGAACGGGUGAGUAACACGUGGGUAACCUACCCCGAUGACCGGGACAACCCGAGGAAACUCGGGCUAAUACCGGAUGUUCUCUGUUCUCCUAAGUGGACAGAGCAAAGAUAGCUUCGGCCUUCGCAUCGGGACGGGCCCGCGGCCCAUUAGCUUGUUGGUGGGGUAACGGCCUACCAAGGCUGCGAUGGGUAGCUGGUCUGAGAGGACGAUCAGCCACACUGGGACUGAGACACGGCCCAGACUCCUACGGGAGGCAGCAGUGGGGAAUCUUGCGCAAUGCGCGAAAGCGUGACGCAGCAGCGCCGCGUGGGGGAAGAAGGCCUUCGGGUUGUAAACCCCUUUCAGUUGGGACGAAGCUUCGUCGGUUAAUAGCCGGCUGGAGUGACGGUACCUUCAGAAGAAGCCCGGCUAACUACGUGCCAGCAGCCGCGGUA
rnacentral:rRNA from 1 species